GAUGAACGCUAGCGGGAGGCCUAACACAUGCAAGUCGAACGGGAUUGAGAGCUUGCUCUCAUGAGAGUGGCGCACGGGUGAGUAACGCGUAUGCAACCUGCCUGUAACAGAGGGAUAGCCCAUAGAAAUGUGGAUUAAUACCUCAUAGUCCUGAGAAGUCGCAUGGCUUUUCAGGUAAAACUCCGGUGGUUACAGAUGGGCAUGCGUGACAUUAGCUAGUUGGUAAGGUAACGGCUUACCAUGGCAACGAUGUCUAGGGGUUCUGAGAGGAUGAUCCCCCACACUGGUACUGAGACACGGACCAGACUCCUACGGGAGGCAGCAGUGAGGAAUAUUGGUCAAUGGGCGCAAGCCUGAACCAGCCAUCCCGCGUGAAGGAUGAAGGUCCUAUGGAUUGUAAACUUCUUUUAUACAGGAAGAAAAAUCUCUACGUGUAGGGACUUGCCGGUACUGUAUGAAUAAGCAUCGGCUAACUCCGUGCCAGCAGCCGCAGUAAAAC
rnacentral:rRNA from 1 species